GGAUGCGAUCAUACCAGCACUAAAGCACCGAAUCCCAUGAGAACUCCGAAGUUAAGCGUGCUCUGGAGAGAGUAGUACUAUGAUGGGUGACCUCUUGGGAAGUCCUCGUGUUGCAUUUC
rnacentral:rRNA from 1 species